rnacentral:rRNA from 1 species
UACGUAGGGUCCGAGCGUUGUCCGGAAUUACUGGGCGUAAAGAGCUCGUAGGUGGUUUGUCGCGUUGUUCGUGAAAACUCACAGCUCAACUGUGGGCGUGCGGGCGAUACGGGCAGACUAGAGUACUGCAGGGGAGACUGGAAUUCCUGGUGUAGCGGUGGAAUGCGCAGAUAUCAGGAGGAACACCGGUGGCGAAGGCGGGUCUCUGGGAAGUAACUGACGCUGAGGAGCGAAAGCAUGGGGAGCGAACAGG